rnacentral:rRNA from 1 species
GAGUUUGAUCCUGGCUCAGGAUGAACGCUAGCUACAGGCUUAACACAUGCAAGUCGAGGGGCAGCAUUUUAGUUUGCUUGCAAACUGAAGAUGGCGACCGGCGCACGGGUGAGUAACACGUAUCCAACCUGCCGAUAACUCCGGAAUAGCCUUUCGAAAGAAAGAUUAAUACCGGAUGGCAUACGAAUAUCGCAUGAUAUUUUUAUUAAAGAAUUUCGGUUAUCGAUGGGGAUGCGUUCCAUUAGUUUGUUGGCGGGGUAACGGCCCACCAAGACUACGAUGGAUAGGGGUUCUGAGAGGAAGGUCCCCCACAUUGGAACUGAGACACGGUCCAAACUCCUACGGGAGGCAGCAGUGAGGAAUAUUGGUCAAUGGGCGAGAGCCUGAACCAGCCAAGUAGCGUGAAGGAUGAAGGCUCUAUGGGUCGUAAACUUCUUUUAUAUGGGAAUAAAGUAUUCCACGUGUGGAAUUUUGUAUGUACCAUAUGAAUAAGGAUCGGCUAACUCCGUGCCAGCAGCCGCGGUAAUACGGAGGAUCCGAGCGUUAUCCGGAUUUAUUGGGUUUAAAGGGAGCGUAGGUGGAUUGUUAAGUCAGUUGUGAAAGUUUGCGGCUCAACCGUAAAAUUGCAGUUGAAACUGGCAGUCUUGAGUACAGUAGAGGUGGGCGGAAUUCGUGGUGUAGCGGUGAAAUGCUUAGAUAUCACGAAGAACUCCGAUUGCGAAGGCAGCUCACUAGACUGUCACUGACACUGAUGCUCGAAAGUGUGGGUAUCAAACAGGAUUAGAUACCCUGGUAGUCCACACAGUAAACGAUGAAUACUCGCUGUUUGCGAUAUACAGUAAGCGGCCAAGCGAAAGCAUUA